rnacentral:rRNA from 1 species
AACGCUAGCGGCAGGCUUAAUACAUGCAAGUUGAGGGGCAGCAUGAUAUACGCGAGUAUAUUGAUGGCGACCGGCGGACGGGUGAGUAAUAGGUAGGAGACCUACCUCAUACAGGGGGAUAGCAUAGAGAAAUCUGUGGUAAUACCCCAUGAGGUUAUAUGAAUAGAGGCAUAUAAUCAAAGCAUAAGCGAUUAUGCGGUAUGAGAGGGGCCUACUGACCAUUAGCUAGUUGGUGAGGUAACGGCUUACCAAGGCGACGAUGUUUAGGGGACCUGAGAGGGUUGUCCCCCACACUGGUACUGAGACACGGACCAGACUCCUACGGGAGGCAGCAGUGAGGAAUAUUGGUCAAUGGGCGCAAGCCUGAACCAGCCAUCCCGCGUGAAGGAAGAAUGCGCUACGCGUUGUAAACUUCUUUUCCAGGGGGAGAAUAAUCCUGUCGUGACAGGACUUGACGGUACUCUGGGAAUAAGCAUCGGCUAACUCCGUG